rnacentral:rRNA from 1 species
UACGUAGGUGGCAAGCGUUGUCCGGAUUUACUGGGUGUAAAGGGCGUGUAGCCGGGCUUACAAGUCAGAUGUGAAAUCCGGGGGCUCAACCCCCGAACUGCAUUUGAAACUGUAGGUCUUGAGUAUCGGAGAGGCAGGCGGAAUUCCUAGUGUAGCGGUGAAAUGCGUAGAUAUUAGGAGGAACACCAGUGGCGAAGGCGGCCUGCUGGACGACAACUGACGGUGGGGCGCGAAAGCGUGGGGAGCAAACAGG